rnacentral:tRNA from 1 species
UGGCUCAGUGGUUAAGAGCACUGGUCGCUCUUCCAGAGGUCCUGAGUUCAAUUCUCAG